rnacentral:rRNA from 1 species
AUACAGAGGGUGCGAGCGUUAAUCGGAAUUACUAGGCGUAAAGCGCGCGUAGGCGGUCUAUUAAGUCAGAUGUGAAAUCCCAGGGCUCAACCUUGGAACUGCAUCUGAUACUGGUAGACUAGAGUUUUGGAGAGGGAAGUAGAAUUUCAGGUGUAGCGGUGAAAUGCAUAGAGAUCUGAAGGAAUACCAGUGGCGAAGGCGACUUCCUGGCCAAAAACUGACGCUGAGGUGCGAAAGCGUGGGUAGCAAACGGGAUUAGAAACCCUUGUAGUCC